GUUUAUAAUAAUAAAUAAUACCAAUUCAGAAGAAAUAUUCAAAAAUAGAUAUAUGCAUCAAAUUUAAACUCAUCCCCUUGGGCAUAAUAAAUUAAGUGAUGCCGAAAUACCAACCAGCCAAACAAUAUUCACUGUAUAAGUGUGAAAUGCUGCUUACAUUCAGAACAUUGUUUGCAUGUGAAGUAGCUAUGUUAAUUCUUAGAAAAAAAGUUAUUUAUAUUUCCUGAAGAGAUCAUGUAAAUUAUUUCAUAUUAAUAUGUCAUUAAUAUGAAAAUUUAUUUAAUCUGUAUGAGGCCAGUAUAGACAUGACUAUAUGAGUCAUUAUUAGAAUCAUAGAAAAUUUAUUUAAAUUUUAUGAGAUCAAUAUAGUUAUGACUGUGUGAGUACUCUUGAUGGGUUUUAAAUAGUAACUAUAAUUGUCAUAAAUUGUCAUAAAUAUAAUGCACUUCAAAAUGUAUAUAAAUAGGCUAAUACAUUUAACUUUUAAAUUAUCAUAUAAGAAAAACUAUAUCAAGUGUGUAUAUAUAUGUAUAUGUAUAUAUUGUGUAUAUGUGUGUGUGUGUGUGUGUGUGUGUGUGUGUGUGUGUGGUGCUGACACCCACAAAAUCAAGAAAGUAUCAGUCUCAAUUUGAGCUGUAGUUUUGAGCAUUUGUGAGCACUUUCUACCCUAAGCACUAGGAACCAGCAGAGGUCCUCUGCAAUGCAAAUGAGCAUUCUUAAUAUCUGAGCCAUCAUUUCAAUCCCAAUCCUACAAUUUUUACACAGAUUUCUUUACAUAACAUCAUUUCUUUAUAUGUUUUGAAUUAAUUAUAUUAUUUUUGGAUAUCAAUCAUGCAAAUAUAUGGGCCAAUCAGAUAAUGCCAAAGCACUUUCUCCUUGGUUUGAAACUGAUGUCAUGGUAAUAUACAUGCUUAUUUUUUUAACAUUUUAUAGGUUUUCUUGGUAGAAAACAUGAAUAAACCAAUUUUAUUUUAAGAUUGGAAUAUAUCUGAACAAAAGAUUUUCUAGAUGGUCGAACCUUUAAGCAGCAGACCUGGAUGGCCCCAAUUCCAACAUCAGUGAAGUAUAGAUUCUGGCUAUUUAAAAUCCAAAAACCUAAAGCAUAUGAAAAGACUAGUCAAAGAGACCAAGCCUAAGGCACACCGAACAGAUUCUGCUUAUUUUUAGCUGCUGCCCUGAUAUAACCCUUCAUAUGCUUUCAAUUACGACUGUGAGACAACGUUGCACAUGUAAUGCAUGGAAAACUGUAAAGGGAGAAUAGUUUUUAAAUUUGUGUUUGUAGCUCUUGGGCUUAUUUUUGGCUUGGUGUUUUUUUUUUUCUGUUAGUUUGUUUGGGGCAUGAGGGGAAAGCUGAUUUUGUGAGGAGACACAUUAGUGAUCAUAAGACAGUGAGGACUCUGCCCUCUGCCAGGCUCCAUGGCUCAAGUUUACAAUCUGGGCACUCAGAGUACAGGGAGAUGUUCAAGGCCAACCUGGAUUAUAUUAAAGAAUUUAACUGAGAUGGGGGAGACACACAGACAGGUAAGAGAGAGAGCGAGAGAGAGACAGACAGACAGAAACAGAGAGAGAGAAAGACAGAGGAAGGGGAAAGAAGGGACAGACACAGAGACACAGAGACAUAGAUAAGGAAAAGGAAGAGUUCUAUAUAUAUUUUGGAUAUUAGCCCUCUAUCAGUUAUGGGAUUAGUAGAUGUUGUUUCCAAUCUGUAGGUUGCCAAUUUGUCCUAUUUUCCUUUGUCUUACAGAAGAUUUCAGAUCCCAUCUAUCAAUUUCUUGAUCUUAGAGCCUGAGCCAUUGGAGUUCUCUUUCAGAAAUCUCCCCCUCCCCUCCCCAUCCCCCCCUUCAACUCUGCCCCAUGCCAAUGAGUUCAACACUCUUACCCACUUUCUCUUCUAUUAUAUUCAGUAUAUCUAGUUUUAUGUUGAGGUCUUUGAUCCACUUGGACUUGAGAUUUGUGCAAGGUGACAAAUAUGGAUCUAUUUUCAUUCAUCUACAUACAGACUGCCAGUUAGGCCAAAACCAUUUAUUGAAGAUGCUUUCUUUUUUCUAUUGUAUAUUUUUGGCUUUUUUCUCAAAGAUCAAUUGUUCAUAUGUGUGUGGUUUUAUUUCUGGGUUUUCAAGUCUUGGGUCUUCAGUUUUAUUCCAUUGAUCAACCUAUCUGUCUCAAUACCAAUACCAUGCAGUUUUUAUGACUAUUGCUCUGUAAUACAGCUUGAGAUCAGGGAUGGUGAUUUCCCCUGAAGUUCUUUUAUUGUUUAGAAUUGAUUUUGCUAUGCUGUGUUUUUUUUAAUUUCUAUAUGAAAUUGAGAAUUGCUCUUUCCAUGUCUUUGAAGAGUUGUGUUGAAAUUUUUAUGGGGACUGUGUUGAAUCUGUAGAUUGCUUUUGAUAGGAAGGUCAUUUUCACUAUGUUAAUCCUACCAAUACAUGAACAUUUGGGAUCUCUCCAUUUUCUGAGAUCAUCAUCGAUUUCUUUCCUGAGACACUUGAAGUUAUUGUCAUACAGAUCUUUCACUUGUUUGGUUAGAGUUACUCCCAAGAUAUUUUAUAUUAUUUAUGACUGUUGUGAAGGGCAUUGUUUCCCUAUAUUUUUCCACAGCCCAUUUAUCAUUUGUAUAAAGUAAGGCUACUAAUUUCUUUGCUUUAAUUUUAUAUCCAGCCAAAGAACUCAAGAAAUUAACCUCCACAAAACAAAACACAAUAAAAAAAAUGGGGUAUAGAACUAAACAAAGAAUUCACAAAGAAAUGUUCAAAGUCCUUAGUCAUCAGGGAAAUAAAAUCAAAACAAACCUGACAUUCUACCUUACACCAAUCAGAAUGGCUAAGAUCAAAAUCUCAGGUGACAGCACACGUUCACAAGGAUAUGGAGAAAGAGGAACACUCCUCCAUUGCUGGUGGGAUUGAAAACUAGUACAACCACUCUGGAAAUCAAUCUAGAGGUUUCUC
rnacentral:lncRNA from 1 species